rnacentral:rRNA from 1 species
UUUAUCGGAGAGUUUGAUCCUGGCUCAGGACGAACGCUGGCGGCGUGCCUAAUACAUGCAAGUCGAGCGGACAGAUGGGAGCUUGCUCCCUGAUGUUAGCGGCGGACGGGUGAGUAACACGUGGGUAACCUGCCUGUAAGACUGGGAUAACUCCGGGAAACCGGGGCUAAUACCGGAUGCUUGUUUGAACCGCAUGGUUCAGACAUAAAAGGUGGCUUCGGCUACCACUUACAGAUGGACCCGCGGCGCAUUAGCUAGUUGGUGAGGUAACGGCUCACCAAGGCGACGAUGCGUAGCCGACCUGAGAGGGUGAUCGGC